rnacentral:rRNA from 1 species
GAUGAACGCUGGCGGCGUGCCUAAUACAUGCAAGUCGAGCGAACAGACGAGGAGCUUGCUCCUCUGACGUUAGCGGCGGACGGGUGAGUAACACGUGGAUAACCUACCUAUAAGACUGGGAUAACUUCGGGAAACCGGAGCUAAUACCGGAUAAUAUGUUGAAUCGCAUGGUUCAACAGUGAAAGACGGUCUUGCUGUCACUUAUAGAUGGAUCCGCGCCGCAUCAGCUAGUUGGUAAGGUAACGGCUUACCAAGGCAACGAUGCGUAGCCGACCUGAGAGGGUGAUCGGCCACACUGGAACUGAGACACGGUCCAGACUCCUACGGGAGGCAGCAGUAGGGAAUCUUCCGCAAUGGGCGAAAGCCUGACGGAGCAACGCCGCGUGAGUGAAGAAGGUCUUCGGAUCGUAAAACUCUGUUAUUAGGGAAGAACAAAUGUGUAAGUAACUAUGCACGUCUUGACGGUACCUAAUCAGAAAGCCACGGCUAACUACGUG